rnacentral:rRNA from 1 species
UACAGAGGUCUCAAGCGUUGUUCGGAUUCACUGGGCGUAAAGGGUGCGUAGGCGGUCGGAUAAGUCUGAUGUGAAAUCUUCGAGCUCAACUCGGAAACUGCAUCGGAAACUAUUCGGCUGGAGGAUUGGAGGGGAGACUGGAAUUCUCGGUGUAGCAGUGAAAUGCGUAGAUAUCGAGAGGAACACCAGUGGCGAAGGCGAGUCUCUGGACAAUUCCUGACGCUGAGGCACGAAAGCUAGGGGAGCAAACAGG